UCGACGAUUGGAAGUAAAAGUCGUAACAAGGUUUCCGUAGGUGAACCUGCGGAAGGAUCAUUACAGAGUUCAUGCCCUUCGGGGUAGAUCUCCCACCCUUGUGUAUCAUUAUAGAAUGUUGCUUUGGCGGGCCGCGCCUAGUGUGCCUGGAUUCGCGUUCAGCGUGCCCGCCAGAGGACCCCUAAACUCUGAAUGUUAGUGUCGUCUGAGUACUAUUAAAUAGUUAAAACUUUCAACAACGGAUCUCUUGGUUCUGGCAUCGAUGAAGAACGCAGCGAAAUGCGAUAAGUAAUGUGAAUUGCAGAAUUCAGUGAAUCAUCGAAUCUUUGAACGCACAUUGCGCCCCCUGGUAUUCCGGGGGGCAUGCCUGUUCGAGCGUCAUUUAUACCAAUCUAGCCCGGCUAGGUGUUGGGCUUCGCCGUUUGGCGGGCCUUAAAACCAGUGGCGGUGCUCUUAGGCUCUACGCGUAGUAAUUUUCUCGCUAUAGGGUCCUGGGAGAUGCUUGCCAGCAACCCCAAAUUUUUCUUAGGUUGACCUCGGAUCAGGUAGGGAUACCCGCUGAACUUAAGCAUAUCAAUAAGCGGAGGAAAAGAAACCAACCAAUC
rnacentral:rRNA from 1 species